rnacentral:lncRNA from 1 species
GGGGCUUGGGCUGGUGACCUGGGCCUUUUUUGUUUAAAAAAAUAAAAUUGGCCCAAUAGAGGAAAUCAUUGGUCCGGCAUCCAUGGUAUUAAUUUCCUCCCAACCCAAAUUCCCAAUCCCUAUUCCCCCAACAUUUGAAACCGGCAGCAAGCAAAGACGAAGUGCAAACCCUUCCUUCCAAUUUCAUAUUUCCAUUCCAAGCAAAAGCAGUAGUCGUGGCACCUGCGAAAUGGGUGGGAAGUACGAGUGCGACUGUGUGAGCAAUUGUGGAUGGUGGACCGUGUGUGAACUGGUGCGAUUGUGCGAAGUCAGGGACAACCGAGGCCGAGCAAGCAACGUGGGUGAGUUGAAUACUUGAAUUUUGCUGGUUGAAUGUUGAAUUCUUUUUGUUGCAAACCCUUUGUUGACUGUUGAUUUGUUGAGUGGAGUGUGUUGACUUUUGAGUGUUUGUUGAUAAUUGAUUUGAAUAUUGUUUGUACUUUGAUGCAAAUAUGCAAUGAUGUAUUUUGUGUUUUAGUUAUACUUAUUAUUUAUUAAUCAGUCAGUGAACAAUGAUGUAUUUUGUGUUUUAGUUAUACUUAUUAUUUAUUAAUCAGUCAGUGAAUCAAUCUUCAAUUCAUAUAGAAAAGCAAAUUAGGAGUUAUUACUGAGAAUUGUGAUUUUUAAUCAAUUCUAAUUGAAAAUUAAAUUGGAGUACUUUACAAAAUAUUGAACAAUUUUUUUAUUAUAUUUAAUCAAAUUUUAAUAAACGAUCGAGCUAUUACGAUCGUUGAUUGUCGAUGGUCAAUGGUCAAUGGUCAAAGUCAAUCGCUGUCCUAGCUGAAGAUUGAAUCUAGAUCCGCCCCUGUCUUUGACGAUGACUCCAAAACUAGAUUGCUAAAAUCCCACAAAUGUACGAUAACAUAGUCGAUAGAGUGUGAGUACAGUGUUAUUCCGAGAAGGAUCAAGUAUGAUUGAUUUGGAUUAUGAUUAAUUAAUCUAGAUCUCUCUAAAAGCUAAGCUAGUGAACAACUAAGAGAUAUAUAUAAAUUUGAUUAACAACGGGCACUAGAAUUUCGAACUAGCAAUCGUAGACAAGGAAAAUGUUAAUUUAACUUUACUAUCAAUGUACCUAUUUCAUUUAGUAAACUCUCUCAAAUAAUACUAAAUUUAUCCUCACACAUGCUAUAAUUCUUAUUCUCUCUCUUGAAUAAAACUAAAAUCACUAAUUAAUUCAAUCAUCAGCUGAAUAAUUGAAAGCAAUAAAAAUAUAACAAUCAUUCGAGAUAAAUAAGGAUUGAUGUCGAAGUCUAGAAAUUAGCCCGUAAUUGCUAAAGAAAUGGAGAGAGAGGGAGGGGGGUUACCCCGGUUUGAACUCAUUCUUUAAAAACUAUUUUUUUUUUUUUCCUUUUUUCAAAUUCAUUUUUAACUUCACAUUCUUCCAAAAAAAAAAAAAAAAAAAAAAAAAAAAAAAAAAAAGUACUUUUUUACAAAAAAAAAAAAAAAAAAAAAAAAAAACAAAACAUGAGGACCUGGGUUGGCAGGUUUUCUGGCUAAUUCCACUGGAGGUCCCAAAUCUUAUGUCAUUGUGACACUUAUCUCCAAACUAAUAAAUAAUAAUAUACGUUUAUUCGAUUGUUAAAUGGUCACGUGAGACUCGAGUGGUGAGAACUAAUUGAAGCAAUGGGAAGGGUUUCGUGAAUACUUAAAAAAAUUAUCCUAUUUGGAAUUCUACAUGAAAUUUAAAGUCACAGUUUGAAUCACGGAUGAAUGUUUUCACUUAAUUAGGGACAUGGGUGCCACAAUUUUAAAAGAUUGAGGACAUGAAAGCAAAAAGUGAUAUAUUCGAGUUUACCCAUUUUUCCAGCUAAAUAACUCUCAUAUAUUAUUAUCACGUAUUAUUUAAUUUUUCUUUUUUAAAGGUACAUGCUAUAUACCAUCUUGAAUACAAGUAAAACCAUCCUACGAAGAGCCCCUCGGAGCACUUCUCCACUGGCAAAGGAUGGGUUCUCUCAAGGCUGGCAGUUCAGAGGUCGUGGAUUCAAUUCGUGGAGCUCUUGGAAGACAAGACAUAUA